CUCAGAACUGCACUGCCUGCUCACAGGUCAAUGCUGCCUCUCGGCACAGACAGAAACCUCCAGGGAUUCAGGUAAAAGGCAUGCUGCCUUUUGAACGCCUGGAAGUGGACUUCACUGAAAUGAAACCUCACUGACACUACCGUUACAUGCUGGUCAUGGUAUAUACGUUCUCGGGAUGGGAGGAAGCUUUUCCUACCCGCACUGAAAGAGCAUCAAAAGUAGCCUGGUGCCUGCUUAGGGAGAUAGUUCCCAGAUUGGGAUUUCCUACCAGCAUUGGAUCGGACAAUGGCCCGGAUUUAGUAGCUGAUUUAGCAUAACAAGUAAGCAAAACUUUAAACAUCAAGUGGAAAUUACAUACAGCAUAUAGGCCCCAGAGUUCUGGGACGGUGGAAGGAACCAACUGGACACUUAAAGAGACAGUCUCCAAGUGGAUCUUAGAGACUGACUGUUCCUGGGUGGACUUGUUUCUGAUGGCUCUGCUCAGACUCAGGAUGACCCCACAGUCCCAUGGCUCUUCUCUGUACAAAAUUGUGUACGGGAGGCCCCCUCCCAUAAUAAAACAGGUGCCAACAAAUUUGCCUCAGAUAAGGGGAGAUGAGAUUUCACAGCAGAUGGAACAACUGGUUGCAGGUGUCACUCCCUGGAUCCACCACAUGAGGGUGAAGAGAGCAUACCACGCAGACCCAGAGGACGCGGAGCAGACUACACAACAGGACCCCACUGAUCCUCGUGAAAGCAAGAUCAUCUUAAAGAAGAAACAGAGAUGAAGCUCUACAAUCAACUGCUGCUACAAGGACUUGCUGGUAUCAUCUUGAAACUAACCAUAGUUUCAAUACAAAGAGGGACCUGUGCUAUGAUUAAAGUUGAAUGUUGUAUAUAUAUUCCUAAUUUAUCUGGCUAUAUAUCAGCCACCCUAGAUGACAUGAAAGGUCAGGUAAAAGUUAUGUCUGAUAAUAAUCCUCCUUUUUGGACUUCAAUCCUAUCUUGGGUGAAGGGUGUUUGAUGGAAAACCAUAUAAACCAUUGUUAUAGUUGCCUUGAUAGUUCUGCUUUGUGGACCCUUUAUUUUACGAUGUAUUAUGAACUUUGUAACACAAAGGUUGGUGUAGUUUUCCCAAAUUGGAGGUCGGAGAGUCAGGGUGCAAUAUAUCACUAUGAAUGCUGCUCAUACUAUGAGUUAAGAGCAUCAAGAGCGGGGAAUGAAGGAGGAAACAGACAGAACAGGCUCCAUCUUGAAAGCAGGACUCCAUCUUGGGCCAGACUGUGGACUUUGAGCUAGAUGCCCAGUAUCUAUGGAAAUGACAUACCAACUGGAAAACCAGGCCCCCUGGAUGGAAGAGCCCCAGGGCUCGUACCCAGACUCUCUGUUUCCUAAAAGAAUACCCUAAUUAUCUGUGUAACCGAAUAGAAUAAUAAAUUCUAUUAUGCUUAUUGGGGGUAUGACCA
rnacentral:lncRNA from 1 species